rnacentral:lncRNA from 1 species
GUUGGUUCCAAGUCUUUGAUAUUAUUUCUAAAUUAUAGGAUAGUUAUAGCCCACUCCUUGAAUGCUGAGACUACAUUAUAUUUUCCAACUUUAAAUAUGAAAUAAAUAUUGAAAAUAAGUGUUCAUUUUUGCUCUAAUGAAAACAGUAUAAAUUUUAAAAUUAGGAUAUCAUUAAGGGAAGCAUCUCUCUCCCUGAAUAAACUAUACAACAAAUCAUAGGCCCAGUAUUUUUUCUACACAUGCAGUUGAGCUAAUAAUUCUGCUUUAAAACAAAUAAAAAUAUGUUCUAAUCAUUUAUUAUCUUAGCAUCAUUCCAAAAAGAGAUGGUUGUUGAUAUCAGAAUAUCCAUAAAUAAAGUUAAAUUUGUCUCUUAAAGAGGUGUUCACCUACAAAGCCUUCAAAUAUCACCAGUUAUUCACAAGUCUUUGGCUGAGGAGGCUUACUCUGUCAUUCAAUAUAAAUUAUUUUCACUCAACAAGAAUGACAAGAAUGGCAUUCCUGCAUUUGAGGUGCUUUCUGUGGAUGUAGAAAGACAAGAUCUACGUAAGUGGAAAAAUGUAAAAACACCCCAUAUGCUGCAGGUAGAUAUAUAGGCAAAGUGAUUUAAAAUAACAGAGGCAACAUUGAGAAAAUGAAGGCUUUUAUUUGUUUGUUUGUUUGUUUGUUUGUUUGCUUAUUUGAGACAGGGUCUCUCUCUGUUGCCCAGGUUGGAGUGCAGUGGUGCAAUCUUGGCUCACUGCAAUCUCCACCUCCUGGGGUCAAGCGAUUCUCCCAGCUCAGCCUCCUGAGUAGCUGGGACUGCAGAGAAAGUGGAUUUGGUAAAGGAAACCCAGCAAGAGGUGAGCGUUUUGUUUUCAAAUUAUGUCAAAUUUAAUUUGGCGGGAAAUUAUUAGUAGUUAAUUGAAAAAUUUCCCAAAGACCUAAAAUUCUUGGCCUUCAUUAAAUAUUUAAAGAAUUUUAAAAUGUGUCCCAAUUUUAGGAAUCUCAAUUAGCAAAGCUUAUGGUAAGAAACUCACCCUGAUGACAGAGCAAUUGGGGACAGAAAGGCUGGGCCUCCUUGACUCCACAUGGCCCAUGAGAUAGGGGGAGUGAAGGCUCUGUCGUAGAGCUGGGCCUUCAGGGUGGCAGAGUUGAAGGCAGGUGUAUGUCAAGCACACCCUGGGGCUUGCCUGGAUCCUGGCAAUUUGGAAGUGGCAAGGCUUCAUUUGGAGAAGUAGAAGUAAAUUGUUCCAGUGCAGCAUAAAGUUCAGAGACAUAUGAGGUGGGGCACUGGGAUACUGCACUUUAUUAAUAGGUACAAGUCCACACCUAUUUAA